UCAAUUUCUUUCAUUGAUUGGUCAUGGAAAAUGAGCUUCCAUUGUUAUUUAUUGCAAUUUAUAGUUGUAAAUAUUUUUCAGAUCUGAACAAACUUUUUCCAUGUUUUUUCGGGGAGGUUUCUUAAAAAAUCAAGAUAUUAGAAAAAUAAUUCUUCCCAUUUUCAAUCGGUCAUCCAAUUCACUCAAAAUGUCCGUUGAAGCUCCAACAAUUGAAACUUCUCAAAAUUUUACUCCUAUUUAAAGUCAUUCAUUGGAUUGUUGUUUGCCGAUGGUACUCUUGAAUAAAUCAACAACUUCUCAUCAGCUAAUGGUGGUUGAAUUUCAGAUGCAGGUGGGUACCAUGUAAUCUUAGUAGAGUCGGGCACCUCAGGAUUUGUAAAAGUGCAGAGGAAGUUGACUGAUAAACUCAUUUGCACUUGACUCACUAAAUUGCAGGUCUUGUGUUCUCGUAUUCACCUUGUGGAUCAGAUUUCCCUGUAGAGUUUUUGCUACUGCUGCUCUCCUGAGAAUCCUCCUCAUUUGUCCCUUCCCUUCUUCUACUGAAAUCGUAUGGAGAUCUGUUGACUUCAUUGGAAUCUUUUUUCCUCCCUAUUGUCUUUAUUACGGUGUUGUGCCUUAUUUUGGGGAUUUGCAUCUAUAGAAUCAUUGUUUGCAGUGCUAGUUACAAUUUUACAUGUUGCGGCUACUUGUGGAUGUGGUCGAACUUGAGUUGUUUCUUCAUUAGCUUAAUGUUAUCAUCAUGUAUAAAAUGUCGCAUUUGGUAGAGAUAUCAAUUAUGUAAUAAGCAUUCUUAGUCAAAAAUCAUAUGAGAAUUUGCCAACCACGACAUAUUACAACUUCUCAUUUAGCCACUUCCUACUCUGUCCACCUCACGGUAUGAAUACUAUCCACAACAGCAAUUUAGGUUCAGUAUCACAAUUCAAGUUCAACGCAAUUAUAACAUUGAGUUUCAUGA